rnacentral:rRNA from 1 species
AACGAACGCUGGCGGCAUGCCUAACACAUGCAAGUCGAACGAGACCUUCGGGUCUAGUGGCGCACGGGUGCGUAACGCGUGGGAACCUGCCCUUAGGUUCGGAAUAACUCCCCGAAAGGGGUGCUAAUACCGGAUAAUGUCUUCGGACCAAAGAUUUAUCGCCUUUGGAUGGGCCCGCGUUGGAUUAGCUAGUUGGUAGGGUAAAAGCCUACCAAGGCGACGAUCCAUAGCUGGUCUGAGAGGAUGAUCAGCCACACUGGGACUGAGACACGGCCCAGACUCCUACGGGAGGAAGCAGUGGGGAAUAUUGGACAAUGGGCGAAAGACUGAUCCAGCAAUGCCGCGUGAGUGAUGAAGGCCUUAGGGUUGUAAAGCUCUUUUACCCGGGAUGAUAAUGACAGUACCGGGAGAAUAAGCGCCGGCUAACUCCGUG